rnacentral:rRNA from 1 species
CCUACGUGCGGCAGCAGUGGGGAAUAUUGCACAAUGGGGGAAACCCUGAUGCAGCGACGCCGCGUGAGUGAAGAAGUAUUUCGGUAUGUAAAGCUCUAUCAGCAGGAACGAGACAAGACGGUACCUUACUAAGAAGCCCCGGCUAACUACGUGCCAGCAGCCGCGGUAAUACGUAGGGGGCAAGCGUUAUCCGGAAUCACUGGGUGUAAAGGGAGCGUAGACGGCUGAGCAAGCCUGAAGGGAAAGGCGGGGGCCCAACCCCUGGACUGCUUUGGGAACUGUACGGCUGGAGUGCAGGAGAGGUAAGUGGAAUUCCUAGUGUAGCGGUGAAAUGCGUAGAUAUUAGGAGGAACACCAGUGGUGAAGGCGGCUUACUGGACUGUAACUGACGUUGAGGCUCGAAAGCGUGGGGAGCAAACAGGAUUAGAUACCCUUGUAGUC